rnacentral:pre_miRNA from 1 species
CUGCUGCCAUGAUGCCAGCUACAGUGGGGGAGGCAAGGCCAGGGCUGUGCUCCCCCGAGCUGGCAGGAGCUGGGAACAG